ACUGUCGGCUGCAAGCCGACAGUCUUUAGAGAGCGGUAUUUCAGAAACGCGACUAGUCGCCUGACACGACAUAUUGAACAUGAAUAUAUUAAUACACACCACCGGCGUAGCAACAGAACUACUUACGUGAAUGUGGGGCGUCAAGUACCUGCUUAUGUGUAUUUAACGCGUUAUUGCCUUUUUUAUGACAAACAUUGCGUGUUACUCUUAGUAUAGUUGUACCGUUGCAAUUUGGUGAGUUUUAUUGAACAAAAUAAUGAAAAAUAAUGAAAGUAUAGCAUUUACAUACGAAGUCAUUUUACCCUACAUCCAAUAGUAAGCUACACCACAUGUUUGAACCCCGUGUGACGUCACACAUAUCCCGGCAUUCAAGACUGACCCGGCAAACCCCGGCAAAGAACUUAUUUUAUGAAUGAAAGCUAUUAAGAAAUAAAUCAUACGCGGUUAAAGAGUUCAUGUCAUGCAAUAUUUUGUGAAAUAGCUUUUAUGUUUCAAAUGAUUUUUUUUUUCAGCAGCAAUCAAACUAUUGUAUUUGUUUGAGUAAAUUAUUUGGAUUAUACCUAUCACAGUUUGUCAACGUUAUGCCUAUUGUUAUUUUGGACUAUAGGGUGUAGUUUUUAAAGUCAUACACAAUAUGGCGGCGAUUAUGCGGAAAUGAAAUUGAAUGUUACUUCGAACACGUUCUUCUACAAAAUAACCGACCUGUAUUUAGUGCUAUUGCUUUAACAUCAAUCGAAGCAAAAAUGGCAUCAAUGUAUGCGUCUAAAAAUGUUAAAUUUAGAUGGAGACAAUCCAAAUUAGCUGCCAGGAAGUGAUCGAUUUCGGACACGAAGAUUGAGAAGUGCCUGGAUACAAGGCUAGUAUUGUUAACAUCAUCUGAUACAAUCAACUGGAACAAAGCUGAAAUGGCUGCCUGACCUGACUUAAAAAUUGGAUGGCAGAACAUCAGACUAGAAGAUUACAAGUAUUGAGGUGGACAAAAUGAAACCUGAGCCUACCAAAGCUGACAGAUUGCACAAGAAACACAUAACUGCAGAUUGGAAGAUUCAUUCUCUGGAAAGUAGAAAAGGGCAUGUUACAUACUGUUAUCACUGCCAUGACAGAAAUUAUAUUGAGGAGCUGGUCCACCUGUAGGAAGAAUUGCGCUAUUGGUUGGAGCAGCACUAUUACCCAGCCAUACACCAGCACUUAGUUUGUCAAAGGGAGCAUUUCUGAGCAGUUAUGGAGACCACUAACUAUGCAGUUGUUGCAGUGAAACUUGCACCAGUGUGUUUUCUGUGGAGAUAUAGAGAUAGUGUCCAGCAAUGAAGACCCAACUCAAGAUCUGACCUUGUAAGGCCAAUAUGAAAUAACUGUGUGGGAAAAUGGGAAAAACCUGCAGUAAGGAAUGCACGGAAAUCAUCAAAAGAACAGUGUUAAAUUAAUCUUGAAUAACUUUACAUUUAUUUUGUUUGACAUAAUUAUUCAUGGUGCAGUGAAAACAUUCUUUUUUUCUCAUGGUUUUUUAAAUUUAGAAUUGAUAGGAGGGAACAUCACUAUGUAGUUUCAUGUUCAUAGUCAGAUCAAAACCCAUGUACAUGCCCAAAUGAGCAUUCGAAAAUAUCAAAAUGGUACUUGUUGUAUGUAGUGUAAGUUAAUUAACAUAAUAAACAGAAAUAUUUAA